UUCUCAGAAAAACCCUAAACUCGAAAGGCCACCGUCAAGCUGCACCAACCUCGCCUCAUACAUGGUCGCCACCAUUUUCUUAAUCUUCAUCUUCAUCAUCAUCUUCACUCUCUACUUCACACUUUUCAAACCCCAAGAUCCUAAAAUCUCCGUCACCGUCGUCCAACUCCCCUCCUUCUCCCUCACAAACAACGCCACCACCGUUAAUUUAACCUUCUCCCAAUUCGCCUCCGUAAGAAACCCUAACAGAGGAACAUUCUCACACUACGAUAGCUCCUUUCAGGUUCUUUGCUAUGGAAGACAAAUUGGUUUCAUGUUUGUCCCCGCCGGGAAGAUCAAUGCGAGGAGAACGAAAUACAUGGCCGCCACGUUUACUGUUCAGUCUCUUCCGGUGGGGCUGGAGGGGAAUGGUACUGAUGGAGUUAGUAGAACUGGGCCGAUGAUGGAGAUUGAGUCGACAAUAGAGAUGGCUGGGAGAGUGAGAGUGUUGAAUCUGUCCAGUCAUCAUGUAGAGACGAAAGCUGAAUGCAGAGUUGCCAUUGCCGUCGCUGAUGGAACCGUCAAAGGUUUUCACUGCUAAUUAGCAUCUCCUAUAUGACUUUGUUUGAAAGGAAGGGGUGAAUCACUUGACACAGCGGGAGGAAAUUCACCACCAAUUCUGUAUGCCUCAUAGUCUUAUACUUACCAACAAUCUUUAAAUCCCCCUGAAAGAUAUCCAGUUCUAGAAGCAGGGUUACGUGCUCUUGCUCUGGAUGACUCAAAAGCUUUCUUUACUGACCACCAACCCGUUUCUGUUGAAGAGAAGAAAGAGCAUUUUGUGGUUGCUCAAAACAGUCUUGAAGUUCUCUCUAGCAUAUUAAAUUCCGAGGCAGAGCCAAAACCUUUAAAGGAAGAAUUAACUUUGAGUCUGCUGGAUAAGUGCAAGCAAUCACUUUAUGUUAUCAAGAAGAUUGUACAAAGCACAACAAAUGAUGAAGAAACACUUUUUGAGGCUUUAUAUCUCAAUGAUGAGCUGCAGCAAUUGGUUUCUAAGUAUGAGGAGUUGGAAGCUUCUCAAAAUUUAGGGGAACAUUAAACACAAAAUGCUGACCCUGCCAAGCAUGAUGCGGAAGCUGUUCAAAACCUCAAUGAAAGACAUGGAGAGAUGUAAAUCUUGAGAUGGAAGAUUGUAGCAAGUGGGUUAGAAGCAAGCUACAAGAAUGGGGUUGUAAACCUUCUGAGUUUUUUAGAACAGUUCCAUGUUAUGAUCCUUCUCAAGCCGGUUUCGAUGGUGCUUCUGCUGGUGUGCAUUUUGUUUCUAACUGUCUUGCAAUCGACAACAAAAACAAGAUUGAAGGUGAAUAAUGAAAGCCUUAUGCUGGUUUUUAAGAAUGGGAGGGGUUAUAACUUCUAGCUGUUAUUUACGUGAUUGAUGCCAAGGAGGUCGCAUUUUUCCAAUACCAUGGUUUGAUUUGCUAUUUGCAUUUUGCAGCUAGGUAAUAUAUGGAAACACAGAUUCAGUCAUGGUACAAUUUGGCGUUUCUGUUGUAGAAGAGGCUAUGAACAUGAAGAGAGAAACUGUUGAAUAUAUUAGCGGAACUUUCAUAAAACCUAUCAAGCUAGAAUUUAAGAAGAUUUACUAUCCAUAUAUUCUGAUUAGCAAGAAGAGAUAUGAUGGUUUGUUUUGGACAAAACCGGACAAUUUUGACAAAAUGGACACUAAAGGGACAUGAAAACGAAGUUAAGAGUGUGGCAAGGACAUAAUCAGGAUGUGAAAAUGGUGAGGUGGCACCCAACGGAUGAUAUCUUAUUUUCAUGUAGCUAUGAUAAUAAGAUUAAGAUCAUGAAUCAUGAUAUUGAUGGAGAUUUUCAGUCAUUCGAAGAUGAAACUACUCGAAGAUGAAGCGACGUAAAUGUAGAGAAAUGUAGUUGUUUAAGUUAAAAUUAAUGUUGGUAAAAAAAAGUUAAAAUUAAUAUUGAUACUCAUUUUAAGAUGUUAAUUUCAUUAUGAUAUACUCUGAAGAUGUUAUUUUUAGUGAAUUAUGA